rnacentral:lncRNA from 1 species
GUGAGAUCUGGUUGUUUAAAAGUGUGUCACCUCCUCCCUCACUCUUUUGCUCCUGCUCUGGUCUUGUGACAUGCCUGCUCACUCUUUAUCUUCUGCCAUAAUUGUAAGUUUCCUGAGGUCUCCCCAGAAGCCACACAGAUGCCAGCAUCAUGUUUCCUGUACAGCCUGAGGAACUCCCGCCAUCAGAAUAUUCCAUGAUUCAUUUACUCUUUCAUUCAACAAACGUGGAGCCAGGCAGUGCAACAAUCAGGCAAAAAUCCUGGUGGAAAGCGGAAGACCGGCAAUGAACAAUAAAUUUGCCAUGGCCCCCCGGCUUAAAUGUCAGAUAACCUGAGCAUGCCCAGAUCAACCAAGUGUGCAAACAUGCUGGUACCUGUUCUCAGACUGAGAGCAAAGACUGAAUUAAGAAGUGGACACUGGGAAGAUGCAAUGGCUCACUACUGGAAUCCCAACACUUUGGGAGGUUGAGGCAGGAGAAUCACUAGAGCCUGGGAAUUUGAGACCAGCCUGGGCAACAGAGCAAGACCUAGUCUCUACAAAAUAAAAAAUAAAAACUUAACUGGUUGUGGUGGCACACAACUAUGGCCCCAGCUACUCAAGAGGCUGAGGCAAGAGCAUCAUUUGAGCCCAGGAGGUCAAGGCUGCUGUGAGCCAUGGUCAUGCCAUGUGCUCCAACCUGGGCAACAGAGCACCACCCUGUCUCAAAAGAAAAAGGAGGAGAAGGAGAGGGAGAAGAAGAAACAGAGGAUCCAAUCAGAUCAAUCCCUGGCAUUUCCCCAUGGCAGGACCCAGUCAGAUCAUCACCUCACUGAAAGAUCCAAUCAGAUCACACCUCAUUACCUUAUGCUUAUAAAACCUGACCCAACCCCAAACUCAGAGAGACAGAUUUGAGCACUUCCUCUUGUCUUCUUGCUAGUUGACUUGCAAUAAAUCUUUCCUUUUCUCAAAAGCCAGUGGCAUGAUGUUGGCUUCUAUGUGCCUUGGGCAGUGAGCCCAUUGAUUGCUCAUUAAUAAUGUAUCCUCAAAGAGAUCACAGGGAAAGGACUCCUCCCAGAGGAAUUGAAUGAUCAGGUUGAUACUUCCUGCCAACCCCUGGGCAGUUGGCUAACCUCAAGUGAGGAAGAACCACUUCAAGUGAGAGCAGGUCAGGCCGGAAGAGAUCUUUGCAGCAUUGCCUUUUCUGGGGGUCAUUGAGUGGCAAGAGGGAAAGGAAGGGAAUGGGAAAGACCUCCUCACCCUCUCCCCAGUUACUCUGAAAUCCAAGUUUGAGAAGUUGUGUUUUGCCUCAAUCCCAGGAUACAUCAAGCAGGACACUUGACCCAAACCCCAUUCAUCUUUUAGAGCAGAACCAAAUCAUUCCUUCUUCCAUUAAACCAAUAUUUGUUGAACUCCUAUCAUGUGUCAGGAGCUGAUCUUGAUUCUCAUAGUGGAGAAAACAAAGCUUCUACCCUCAUGGAGUUUAUAUUAUUUUUGAGGAUGGAGAUGAAAAAAAAAGCUAACCUAAUAAUGUCAGGCAGUCAUAAUUACUACAAAAACAGACAAAGAAGAAUGGGGUGUAGAGAGCCCAGGGGAUCUUUUGGAUAGAGUAGUUGGCAGUGGCUUCCUGAGGAGCUGACCUUUCAGCAGAGACCAGAGUGAAGUGAGAAAACGUGCCUUGGGGGACAGAUGUCUUGGGAAGG